rnacentral:tRNA from 1 species
GCGGACGUGGUGGAAUUGGCAGACACGCAAGGCUUAGAACCUUGUGGUAUGAAAAAUACCUUGGGGGUUCAAAUCCCUCCGUCCGCA